GACGAAGGAUGCAAGCGUUAUCCGGAUUCAUUGGGUUUAAAGGGAGCGUAGGUGGCCUGCUAAGUCAGUGGUGAAAUCUCUGGGCUUAACCCAGAAAUUGCCAUUGAUACUGGUGGGCUUGAGUGCAGUUGCUGUUGGCGGAAUAUGACAUGUAGUGGUGAAAUACAUAGAGAUGUCAUAGAACACCGAUUGCGAAGGCAGCUAACAAAACUGUAACUGACACUGAGGCUCGAAAGUGUGGGGAUCAAACAGGG
rnacentral:rRNA from 1 species